GCGCGACAGAAAGAAUGCAUAGGGAGAAAGGGAGUUGAUUCCAUGGUGGUGUAGUGUUGAAUGUGAAUUAGAUGAAAUCAAAGGUUAUUUGAUUGUAUAUUGGUUUGAGUUGGGGAGGUUUGAGAAUUCCGAUCUAGGGUUCCGCCGCCGACCUAACAAGAGGGUUAUUGAUAAGAUCAAGGGGAAAAUUCACGGCGAAGAUCACGGAAGCAAGGAAGACUGCUGUGAAGGUGAAAGAAAAAGAAGAAAUAGAAGAAGAGAAGGAGAAGGAAGGUCACCAUGACGAUGGCGAUUGAAGUAGCAACAACGACAUCUAUUAGAUCUCAACUGUCGCACAACUGUUUUCCACUAACAACAUUGAUCUAAGGAAUUCAUCUAUUUUUUUUCUCAGCUCAAAAUACUAAUGGCACUUGCCGGUACAACCCACAAAUGCACGACAUGUGACAAGCGUAUCUACUUGGUGGACAAACUCAUUGCUGUAAUUGUGUCUUCUUCAAAGCUUGCUUGAGAUGCCACCAUUGCAGUGACACACUCGAGCUCAGUAACUACAUCUCCUUUGAGGAUGCUCUUUGUUGCAGGCCACGCUUUAAUCAGUUGUUCAAGAAAAAAGAAAAGUGGUAGCUUAGACAAGAGCACAC